rnacentral:rRNA from 1 species
UACGUAGGCAGCAAGCGUUGUUCGGAAUUAUUGGGCGUAAAGCGCUCGUAGGCGGGACAGGAAGUUCGUGUUGAAAGACCUCGGCUCAACUGAGGGACCGGCUCGAAUACUCUUGUUCUUGAGGCAAUCAGAGGGUGAUGGAAUUCCCGGUGUAGCGGUGAAAUGCGUAGAGAUCGGGAGGAACACCUGUGGCGAAGGCGGCCCCCUGGGCCGGCCCUGACACUGAGACGCGAAGGCGUGGGGAGCGAACGGG